AAUACUACUGUUUUUACAGUAUUUUGAUACUACUGUAUAUUACAAAUGCAGCUUUGGAAAGCAAUUUGCAACAAUCAUAAUUAUUCCAAACUUUUUAACUAAAACAUAUUUAAUUUUUUUGAUAUUAUGAUAUUGUGCAUUUUAUUUGUGCAAGUCAUAAAGGUCUUACAUUUUGAUUUUAAAAACUCCCUCAUUUACUCGUGCAUUUAAAAUCGUUCUCCUGUGACGCUUGUGCUUUCAUGACUAGAUGAAUCAUUUACUCUGGAUUGCAGCACAGGGAUGUUUUGGGCAGAAUGAGUGUUUGUUUGAUUGACUAUACAUGCGAUCUUGUCCCUCCAGACGUGUCUGCGCGAGUCGGACGGCAGUGACGAGGAAGACUCUCUGUCCAGUCACAGCGAGGAUGGCUUCAGCGAGGGCAGCUGGGACCGUGUGGAGAGGAAGGACACAGAGGUCACCAGAUGGGUGCCGGAUCACAUGGCUUCUCACUGCUUCAGCUGCGACUGUGAGUUCUGGAUGGCCAAGAGACGGCAUCACUGCAGGUGCGGCCCGUUUACAGCACUGUAGAAAUACAUCAGUUAAAUAUCACUUCAUUUUGAGACUUUAUUUUUAUUUAUUUUUUUCAGUGAUUCCUAAGACAUUUUCCCUCUUGAGAUUUUAAAUAAUAUUUAAAAAUGUAAAUUAAUUUCACAACAGUUGAUUUAUUACAAAUAAUUAAGACACCCAAUGUCAUCAUGUGUGUUUUUAAGAUCGGUGUGUCCAGUUUUUGAUGAUUAUAUAUAGUUUCAAUGGAAAUUCAGGCAUGAUUUCAACAAACCAUCAGUCAGAAAACUCUGAAGUAUGUGAUUGAUUUAAAACAUGAUCGAUUAAUUGCAUUUGUUUUCUUUUAUGUUUCUCUGAUUAAAUAUUGGAUUUAUAGUUGAAUCUGACUGGUUGACAUUUUAUAGAAUAUUGGGUUUAUAGAAAGUGUUGUUUUUUAAUAUUAUAUAUGUAUUUUAGAAUUACUAAUACUACGAAUUAGCUUUUAUUUUGUUUUUGAUUUAGGCUUUAAUUUUUUUAUGAGCUUUUGUCAUUUUUCAUAUUUUUCUUUUUUCCAUUUAUUUAUUUGUUUUAUUUUAUUUUUAUUUAUUUUUUUUAACUUUUUUUAUCUAAUACUUAUAUUUUAUUUUUUAUAAAUAUUCAUAUUUAUAUUUAUUUAUUUUAAAUACCGAAAACUAGUAAAAUUAGUUUUUGUUUUAGUUAACAAUAACAACGCUGUUUCAAUUGAUUAGUUUGUUGGUUUAUUGUAAUUAAAUAUUAGCUGUUAUAGCUUUUAGUUUUAUAUUUUCAGUUUUCAUUUAAAUUUUAAUUUAGGUUUUAGUCAUUUUAUUAUGUGCUUUUGUCAUUUUUGUAAUAUUUCUAUUUAGCUUUAAUUUAUUUUUAUUUCAGUUUUAUUUUGUAGUUUAAAGAUUUCAACUUAAAUCAAUGCAACAUUUAUAUUUUUCUUAUAUUUGUAAGUUUAAUUUAGUUUUUCAGUAGAUUUAUUCAGUUAUUGAAAAUGUAGCAAUAUUUUUUGUUUUAGUUAACAAUAACAAUACUAUUUAGAGUGGAAGUGAUGGAUUAGUUUAUUGUAGUUUAAUAUUAUAAUAAUUUAAUUUUAAUAUUAUAAUAUUUUUAGAUUA
ensembl:lncRNA